CACCAGAACCCCAAGAAGUAGAAGAAAGUGGGCAGGAAUAAAAAAUAAAAAUGGCAUUAUACAAGUGAAUGCCGAAUGACACAAAGAGGUCAGACAGACCUGGGGUUGAAAGGUAGCCAGCUUUCUGCCUUGCUGUGUGACCUUGAGCGAGUUCCACAAUCCUUCCUCCUCUUCCCUGGUUCUUCUUGACCCCUCCUCUUUUGGUCUCCAAUUGAGUCAGUAAUAGUAUCUGCUCACAACCAAGUUAUGUAGGAGAAUUCUAUCCUAAUCCUAGCCAUCAACUCUGGCUAUGGUUCAUGUAUUUCUGCUGUUUCCAGAGACCCUUGAUUUUAACCACAUCAGAGCCCUCAUUUAAACCAUUUGUAAAUAUCUUUCUAUGGACCUACCUAACUACUGAAGUACAAGAAUUUUGUCACUUCAAAUUGACUGGGGAUUUUUUUUUCUGUGUCCUCAGAUCCCAUAAAGAGUUAUUUAUUGAAACAAUGUACAUGUUUACCAAAAUAAAAUGCACAAAUACUUUUCAAAAUUAGUUUUUGAGGGGCAUAUGAACAAGCUUUUCACCUAUAGAAAAAAAAAAAGGCAGAGGAAAAAGACCUGUAUCUUGUACCUGAUUCUUUUUUUUAGAAUCAACAAGAAGCAGUGUUGGAACUAGGUUGUGGUUCAGGAGGUAAAGCUCUUGUCUAGCAUACAUAAGUUUCAGGGUUCUAUCCCCAGAACUUCGUAAACCUGGUAUGGUGGCACAUUCCUGGAGGUGGAAACCGGAGGGUCAGAAGCUCAAAGUAACCCUUGACAACAUAGUGAAUUUAAGGUCAGCAGCGUUCUCUGCUCCAUUACUCCAGAUUAGAAAUCAGUGAUUCUUUGCAGACUCUGUCCUAUCCGUAGCUUUUUACUUUACUUUGAGAGAGAAGGAUGACUGUAGCCCCUGGGUGGACCCCAAACCUGCACCAUCUGUUAGGCACCACCCAUUCAGCACAUACUAAACACUAACUCCAGAGAGUAGAAGGGGAGCUACCCCGUAAGUUUAUUGGUCUGAACUGAGGCCAUAGGGGCACAUGGACAUAUUAAAAUCCUAUCAGGAAAAGGAAGACCAAGAAUUUAUUGGACAUUGAAGACCAAGGAAAGUAUGUAAUUCUUUCAUAUGGACCUACUAAGGACACCUAACAGUACAAUGACAUGGCCCUAUACCAACUUGUUAUCUGACAGCCUGUGUGUGCAUCAGGGACAGAGGAUUUUCUAGCUGUUCCUAUUGUUUCUGCUUGGCUUGGUCUACUGCUAGUGACACUGCUUCCUUAACUGCUCAUGUGUCCACCUAUUUGUCUCUCUAGACCUAGGCCCAAUCUACCAUUUCCUAUUCCUGCCCCAUUGCCUUAUCCAGACCCACUUCCAACUAUCACUUAGUAACUGAACUCAGCAGCUUCUCACACCUGAUUCUAGCAGUUCAACAGCAGCAGCUUCCCCCAUCCCAGCACUAGUCUAGUUCCUUGUCUUACCAAUGCAGACUUUUUCUCAGUCUACUUCUGAAACCUCUUGAACCUUUAUUGUGUGGCCUGUAAUAUGUAAUAUUAGUAAUUAAGUUAGGAAUUAAAAAAAAAAAACCAGAGCGACCUAGACCAUGAUUCCAAGGUGGGCAGAGUAUAAGGCAAAUUGCUGUCGUGGAAACUGCUGUGCUUUGUGGAUUUGUUGUGAUUCAGUACACCCUGACAUUGUAGAAAGACAAAUGUGUUCCUGUUCAUCUUUGUUUCUAGUGUAGUGUACUCAUGACACUGGGCUACAUGAAAGCCAGUCUCUUCAAACAAACAAGCACAACUGUGUUCAUUAUAUCUUCACUUCAUAAUACAGUUGGGACCUUUGGUACUUUGGUACUCUUGUUACCCAUUUAGUCUCAGAUACUGCCUUAAACAUGAUGUCACAGAUUUCUAAACACAUUAUUACUGAUGCUUUGUUUAAAGUGUUUGUUAGAAGCCAGCUAAUUAUAUCACUUUAUUUUAUAAGCAAGAGGUUUAAAGUAAUUAUCUGUCUUUUAAUACUACUACAGGGUGUGUGUGUGUGUGUGUGUGUGUGUGUGUGUGUGUGUGUGUGUGUGUGUUUUCAGAUCAGAGAUCAAAUUUGAGUAUCAUUCUAGAUCUCUCAACCUUGUUUUCUGACACAGGGAUAAGCACAGGGCCCUGUAGCUCUCCAAUUGUACUAGGCCAGCUGUCUGGGGAAAGCACUUAACAGACUGAGCUAUCAUCCAGGCACAAGACAUCCAUUCCUUUUAAAACUUAAGAAAUUUAAAUUUUUCCUUCAAUAUAUUUUGAUAAUAUUCUUUUGCUUCUCUCAACUCCUCCAAGAUCCUCCCCAACUCCCUAACACCAUGUUCAUUCUGGUUAUUUCUCAAAGAGAUAGGGGGAGCAAGGAGAGAGAACAGAAAAGGAAAAAGUAAAGAAAAUGGAAAUAAACCCUAAAAAAAUAAGACAAAAAAUGCUAGAACAAGGUGAGCAAUCAAUGCACCUCCUCCUGGGCAGGAGGCCUAUCCUGGAGUGUGGUUGACAUACCCAGUAACACUCCAUUGAAGAAAACCAAUUUCCCCUUGCCAGCAGGUAACAAUUGCAAAUAGCUUCUUGGUUAGUGGUGGCACCCCAGAUCCACUUCUUCUCCAUGCUGGGACUCUGAUCUGCCUUGAGUGGAUGCAAGUGUUGUGGAUGCUGUCACAGUCUCUGAGUUCAGAUGUGCAUCAGGCCUGUUAUGUCUGCUGGACACUUUUCCUUGGAGACAUUUGCCAUUGUCUGUCGUUCUUACAGUAUUCCAUCUCCUCUUCUGAAUACAUCCUAAGCCUUGAGGCUCCAGAGAGGUUUCAUAAAGAUACUCCAUUUAGGGCUGGGUUUUCCAGAAUCUAAUAUUCAGUGCAGUUGUGUGUCUUUGUGUUAAUUCACAUUAUUGAAACCAAUCCCAGUAUGGGGGACAGCUCACAAAAGCUGGGAAUCUGGAGCACACUGCACAGCCUGCAGUCAACUCAACAGGUUGGACACUGUCCUUUCCAGGAGCCUGGGUUGGUCUAAACUUCUUCCAGGCAACUUGUCUGGUUCAUAGUUUUGUUUGUUUGUUUGUUUGUUUGCAGUUCAGUUUUCAUUCAUCUGAGAGGGUCUCUUAGCUUCUGUUGUUUACUCUGAUAGUUUACUCUGACCUAAGUAGGGAGUGGCCUAGUGAUUCUGGUCAUGUUCUGGGUCUUAUUGAAGUUAUUUUGAGUGGUUUAUCGCCAUGCUUAAAGAGCCUCCCUGAAGGAUAGAAUAUUUUAAUCAGAGGAAGUGUGUGUGUGUGUGUGUGUGUGUGUGUGUGUGUGUGUAUGAGUCUGUCUGUCUAUCUGUCUGUCCCUGUGUGUGUGUUCCUUUCAUAUAUGCAUCGGGGUGUGUGUGCCUGUAGAGGCCAGAAGAGAAUGUUAGAUCCCCUGAGAAGGGAGUGGGUGCUUCCACCUAACCUGGAUCCUGUGGAAGAGUGGCAACUACUUUUAACCUGUGAUUCAUCUCUCCAACCCCUUGACAUCAUUCAAAAAUCUAUGGAAUGUUUCCUCUGUCAUUUGG
rnacentral:lncRNA from 1 species